AGCGAACGCUGGCGGCAGGCCUAACACAUGCAAGUCGAACGGACCCUUCGGGGUUAGUGCGGACGGGUGAGUAACACGUGGGAACGUGCCUUUAGGUUCGGAAUAGCUCCUGGAAACGGGUGGUAAUGCCGAAUGUGCCCUUCGGGGGAAAGAUUUAUCGCCUUUAGAGCGGCCCGCGUCUGAUUAGCUAGUUGGUGAGGUAACGGCUCACCAAGGCGACGAUCAGUAGCUGGUCUGAGAGGAUGACCAGCCACACUGGGACUGAGACUACGGCCCAGACUCCUACGGGAGGCAGCAGUGGGGAAUCUUGCGCAAUGGGCGAAAGCCUGACGCAGCCAUGCCGCGUGAAUGAUGAAGGUCUUAGGAUUGUAAAAUUCUUUCACCGGGGACGAUAAUGACGGUACCGGAGAAGAAGCCCCGGCUACUC
rnacentral:rRNA from 1 species